rnacentral:tRNA from 1 species
UGAUUUAUAGUGUAAUUGGUCAGCACACAAGAUUUUGAUUCUUGGAGUUUAGGUUCGAGUCCUAAUGAAUUAACAA